rnacentral:lncRNA from 1 species
AAAAUGAACAAAAAGAAAGACUAGUUCUAGAGUGCAUAUAUACAAAUUUUGCUAUACAUGUGAUUUUUAUAAAGUUAGUCUCCAUCGGUAGAGAGAGAUGCCAAUGAUAAUUCAAUACACAAUAAAUGAGAUAUUUGUCUGGAAAAUAAGUCCAACAUGUCUUUAGCAUGUGUUGCACAUAUAUUGUUCUUCUCAAAUAAGC